GGACAACGAAGAUGACGCAAUGACGGUGACAACCAAUGCAACAUGUCCAAAGUUCUUUCCAACAAGUUUGUCGCUGCCAGACAAGGGUUGACGUUGAUCUUUAACAAGAAGUGUGGACCAGACCUAGGACACGCUGGAGGGAUUAUGUCUCACAACUGGCCUGGGAACGCCUUGGUGUCCUCCCGGUGGAGCUGGAGGAGGUGGCCGGAGACCAGGAAGUCUGGGCUUCCCUGCUGAGACUGCUGCCCCCGUGACCCAGACCCGGAUAAGCAGAGCAAAAUGGAUGGAAAUUUGCACCUUAUAUACCCAGGUAAGCCACUUCUGACGUUGUCCCUGGUUCAGGGGUGGAGUGAAACAUUUGUAGCACAAGUCUAGGAUUCAUCUGUGCCUAGCUGCUCUUGAUGCACGGACUCCAGCCUCAGUCUACUCCUGGUGAAGUUCCCCGAAAAUCUUGAAUGGAUUUUGCAUGACAGUCCACUCAAGGCUGUGGUCAUCCCCAAUUGUGCUGGUGCACCUUUUUCUUGUACUCAACUAUAUGAAUAUGACUGAAUACAGCACUAAGCAAUGAGAAAUGACAUAUGAUUGCGUAGCCAGCUGACCCAGACCGAGAGACCAUGUAAAGGCUCAGGAAACCUUUGCAGGUGUUUUAAAUUAAUUAGCCCAUUGGGGUGUGACACCAGGACUUUCCUAAAUUUAACUUAUUCCUAAUUUUCUGGGUCUUUCAUCAUCUGUAAGUCACAACCAUCAAACUUGCAAGAAAUAAAGAUAUGAAAUAAAUAUUUCACUUUCUGAAGUGAGUGAGAAAAAUAUUGAACUUGUGCUUUUCAAAUUUUUUGAGGUGCGCAUCUGUAAAUAAAAACCCCAUCAGCUUACACUUUCA